UACGAAGGUCGCAAGCGUUACUCGGAAUUACUAGGCGUAAAGGGCAGGUAGGUGGUUUGAUAAGUCUGUUGUGAAAGCUCCUGGCUUAACUGGGAGAGGCCAACAGAAACUAUCAGGCUUGAGUAUGGGAGAGGGUACUGGAAUUCCCGGUGUAGCGGUGAAAUGCGCAGAGAUCGGGAGGAACACCAAUGGCGAAAGCAGGUACCUGGACCAUUACUGACACUCAACUGCGAAAGCUAGGGGAGCAAACAGG
rnacentral:rRNA from 1 species